GCCCUCGUAGCGCAGCGGAAGCGCGCUGGCGUCCGAAGCCAGAGGUCGGAGGUUCGAAUCCUCUCGGGGGCAC
rnacentral:tRNA from 1 species